GGGUUGUGAGGUUAAGCGACUAAGCGUACACGGUGGAUGCCCUGGCAGUCAGAGGCGAUGAAGGACGUGCUAAUCUGCGAUAAGCGUCGGUAAGGUGAUAUGAACCGUUAUAACCGGCGAUUUCCGAAUGGGGAAACCCAGUGUGAUUCGUCACACUAUCAUUAACUGAAUCCAUAGGUUAAUGAGGCGAACCGGGGGAACUGAAACAUCUAAGUACCCCGAGGAAAAGAAAUCAACCGAGAUUCCCCCAGUAGCGGCGAGCGAACGGGGAGCAGCCCAGAGCCUGAAUCAGUGUGUGUGUUAGUGGAAGCGUCUGGAAAGGCGUGCGAUACAGGGUGACAGCCCCGUACACAAAAAUGCACAUACUGUGAGCUCGAUGAGUAGGGCGGGACACGUGGUAUCCUGUCUGAAUAUGGGGGGACCAUCCUCCAAGGCUAAAUACUCCUGACUGACCGAUAGUGAACCAGUACCGUGAGGGAAAGGCGAAAAGAACCCCGGCGAGGGGAGUGAAAAAGAACCUGAAACCGUGUACGUACAAGCAGUGGGAGCACGCUUAGGCGUGUGACUGCGUACCUUUUGUAUAAUGGGUCAGCGACUUAUAUUCUGUAGCAAGGUUAACCGAAUAGGGGAGCCGAAGGGAAACCGAGUCUUAACUGGGCGUUAAGUUGCAGGGUAUAGACCCGAAACCCGGUGAUCUAGCCAUGGGCAGGUUGAAGGUUGGGUAACACUAACUGGAGGACCGAACCGACUAAUGUUGAAAAAUUAGCGGAUGACUUGUGGCUGGGGGUGAAAGGCCAAUCAAACCGGGAGAUAGCUGGUUCUCCCCGAAAGCUAUUUAGGUAGCGCCUCGUGAAUUCAUCUCCGGGGGUAGAGCACUGUUUCGGCAAGGGGGUCAUCCCGACUUACCAACCCGAUGCAAACUGCGAAUACCGGAGAAUGUUAUCACGGGAGACACACGGCGGGUGCUAACGUCCGUCGUGAAGAGGGAAACAACCCAGACCGCCAGCUAAGGUCCCAAAGUCAUGGUUAAGUGGGAAACGAUGUGGGAAGGCCCAGACAGCCAGGAUGUUGGCUUAGAAGCAGCCAUCAUUUAAAGAAAGCGUAAUAGCUCACUGGUCGAGUCGGCCUGCGCGGAAGAUGUAACGGGGCUAAACCAUGCACCGAAGCUGCGGCAGCGACGCUUAUGCGUUGUUGGGUAGGGGAGCGUUCUGUAAGCCUGCGAAGGUGUGCUGUGAGGCAUGCUGGAGGUAUCAGAAGUGCGAAUGCUGACAUAAGUAACGAUAAAGCGGGUGAAAAGCCCGCUCGCCGGAAGACCAAGGGUUCCUGUCCAACGUUAAUCGGGGCAGGGUGAGUCGACCCCUAAGGCGAGGCCGAAAGGCGUAGUCGAUGGGAAACAGGUUAAUAUUCCUGUACUUGGUGUUACUGCGAAGGGGGGACGGAGAAGGCUAUGUUGGCCGGGCGACGGUUGUCCCGGUUUAAGCGUGUAGGCUGGUUUUCCAGGCAAAUCCGGAAAAUCAAGGCUGAGGCGUGAUGACGAGGCUCUACGGUGCUGAAGCAACAAAUGCCCUGCUUCCAGGAAAAGCCUCUAAGCAUCAGGUAACAUCAAAUCGUACCCCAAACCGACACAGGUGGUCAGGUAGAGAAUACCAAGGCGCUUGAGAGAACUCGGGUGAAGGAACUAGGCAAAAUGGUGCCGUAACUUCGGGAGAAGGCACGCUGAUAUGUAGGUGAAGUCCCUCGCGGAUGGAGCUGAAAUCAGUCGAAGAUACCAGCUGGCUGCAACUGUUUAUUAAAAACACAGCACUGUGCAAACACGAAAGUGGACGUAUACGGUGUGACGCCUGCCCGGUGCCGGAAGGUUAAUUGAUGGGGUCAGCGCAAGCGAAGCUCUUGAUCGAAGCCCCGGUAAACGGCGGCCGUAACUAUAACGGUCCUAAGGUAGCGAAAUUCCUUGUCGGGUAAGUUCCGACCUGCACGAAUGGCGUAAUGAUGGCCAGGCUGUCUCCACCCGAGACUCAGUGAAAUUGAACUCGCUGUGAAGAUGCAGUGUACCCGCGGCAAGACGGAAAGACCCCGUGAACCUUUACUAUAGCUUGACACUGAACAUUGAGCCUUGAUGUGUAGGAUAGGUGGGAGGCUUUGAAGUGUGGACGCCAGUCUGCAUGGAGCCGACCUUGAAAUACCACCCUUUAAUGUUUGAUGUUCUAACGUUGACCCGUAAUCCGGGUUGCGGACAGUGUCUGGUGGGUAGUUUGACUGGGGCGGUCUCCUCCUAAAGAGUAACGGAGGAGCACGAAGGUUGGCUAAUCCUGGUCGGACAUCAGGAGGUUAGUGCAAUGGCAUAAGCCAGCUUGACUGCGAGCGUGACGGCGCGAGCAGGUGCGAAAGCAGGUCAUAGUGAUCCGGUGGUUCUGAAUGGAAGGGCCAUCGCUCAACGGAUAAAAGGUACUCCGGGGAUAACAGGCUGAUACCGCCCAAGAGUUCAUAUCGACGGCGGUGUUUGGCACCUCGAUGUCGGCUCAUCACAUCCUGGGGCUGAAGUAGGUCCCAAGGGUAUGGCUGUUCGCCAUUUAAAGUGGUACGCGAGCUGGGUUUAGAACGUCGUGAGACAGUUCGGUCCCUAUCUGCCGUGGGCGCUGGAGAACUGAGGGGGGCUGCUCCUAGUACGAGAGGACCGGAGUGGACGCAUCACUGGUGUUCGGGUUGUCAUGCCAAUGGCACUGCCCGGUAGCUAAAUGCGGAAGAGAUAAGUGCUGAAAGCAUCUAAGCACGAAACUUGCCCCGAGAUGAGUUCUCCCUGACUCCUUGAGAGUCCUGAAGGAACGUUGAAGACGACGACGUUGAUAGGCCGGGUGUGUAAGCGCAGCGAUGCGUUGAGCUAACCGGUACUAAUGAACCGUGAGGCUUAACCUUACAACGCCGAAGGUGUUU
rnacentral:rRNA from 1 species